rnacentral:rRNA from 1 species
UACGUAGGUGGCAAGCGUUGUCCGGAUUUAUUGGGUUUAAAGGGUGCGUAGGCGGAAUGAUAAGUCAGUGGUGAAAGCCUGCAGCUUAACUGCAGAACUGCCAUUGAUACUGUCAAUCUUGAGUACAUUUGAUGAGGGCGGAAUGUGUCAUGUAGCGGUGAAAUGCUUAGAUAUGACACAGAACACCGAUUGCGAAAGGCAGCUCUCAAAAACUGUAACUGACGCUGAGGCAC